UUGAGGGGGCGGGUAGGGAGAGGAUGCCACAAGCAAAGAAGAGCCCACAUUUGCCAUUUCAGUAGGAAAUGUCUGCUGAGAAGAUCAUAUUGGCUGAGCAGAGAGGAUCACUCAUAGAUCUUCUACUCCGUGAAAUUUGGGACAAUAAUCCAUUUUGAGAAUAUCACUCCAGAAGCCAGUUCUACAAUGACUGAUGGACAUUUCAGGAAUACCAUCAUUCAAGACAUGCUAAUUUCCCUGCAAUCCAUUUCCUUGGACUUGACAUAACUGUGAAGACAGGAGAUGAAAUCGUCUGGGCUGUGAAAGUGCAGGUUAUGACUUGAAAGAAAGCCAAGCUGAGAAGGUUUCAAGACCUACAAGAUGGUGCAGAAUAAACUGGCUGUGCUUCAAAUGGAUGAUGGC